GGAGAAAUUCAAUAUCGCCCUUAACCGGCGAUGUGCACUUUUCUCCCAGUAAGACGCUGUGAUCCAUUAGAAAUCGGACCAUGCCAAUGGUUAGUGGGCUAUCAAAAGGCUGACAUGAAGUUCGGUGGUGCAAAUGGCGCGAUCAUAAACGGUUGUGUGUAUUGCCCGUCGAGCAUGUUGUGUCCUGAAAUAGCUGUCUGAUGGAUUUUAAAGGCCAUAUUACUGAUGUC
rnacentral:rRNA from 1 species